UUCAAUCAAAGGUAAAAUAUAAAUAUUGGGUUGGAUUACAUAAAAAAGGAGCUAAUCAUCCCUGGAUGUGGCAGGAUGACUCAACACCAUCUCAGAACCUGAAUUUUCAACAGACUACACGUAACGCAAAAUGUGGACACAUCGAGUCAGCAAGUAUUGCUACUGCUGUUUGUACUCGAGAGUUUCCUUUCAUUUGUGAAAAGAAUUUUAUCUGUCUUGAUAUUAAAAAAUGACUAUAAUC